ACAGCAGCCGCCGCGGGAAUACGAAGGGUGCAAGCGUUAAUCGGAAUUACUGGGCGUAAAGCGUGCGUAGGCGGUGAGUUAAGUCUGCUGUGAAAUCCCCGGGCUCAACCUGGGAAUGGCAGUGGAUACUGGCUCGCUAGAGUGUGUCAGAGGAUGGUGGAAUUCCCGGUGUAGCGGUGAAAUGCGUAGAGAUCGGGAGGAACAUCAGUGGCGAAGGCGGCCAUCUGGGACAACACUGACGCUGAGGCACGAAAGCGUGGGGAGCAAACAGGAUUAGAUACCCCCGUAGUCCCUGUCUCUUAUAA
rnacentral:rRNA from 1 species